CUUGACCGAGCCCAGCCACAACGGGUCCUUCGCCGAACGGCCCUUGCCGUAGGUGGCCAUCAGCGCCUGGGCCUC
rnacentral:antisense_RNA from 4 species